AACGCACAUUGCGCCCGCCAGUAUUCUGGCGGGCAUGCCUGUCUGAGCGUCAUUUCAACCCUCAUGCCCCUAGGGCGUGGUGUUGGGGAUCGGCCAAGGCCCGCAAGGGACGGCCGGCCCCUAAAUCUAGUGGCGGACCCGUCGUGGCCUCCCCUGCGAAGUAGUGAUAUUCCGCAUCGGAUAGCGACGAGCCCCAGCCGUUAAACCCCCCAAACUUUACAAGGUUGACCUCAGAUCAGGUAGGAAUACCCGCUGAACUUAA
rnacentral:misc_RNA from 1 species